rnacentral:rRNA from 1 species
GACGAACGCUGGCGGCGUGCUUAACACAUGCAAGUCGAACGGAAAGGCCCUGCUUUUGUGUGGUGCUCGAGUGGCGAACGGGUGAGUAACACGUGAGUAACCUGCCCUUGACUUUGGGAUAACUUCAGGAAACUGGGGCUAAUACCGGAUAGGAGCUCCUGCUGCAUGGUGGGGGUUGGAAAGUUUCGGCGGUUGGGGAUGGACUCGCGGCUUAUCAGCUUGUUGGUGGGGUAGUGGCUUACCAAGGCUUUGACGGGUAGCCGGCCUGAGAGGGUGACCGGCCACAUUGGGACUGAGAUACGGCCCAGACUCCUACGGGAGGCAGCAGUGGGGAAUAUUGCACAAUGGGCGGAAGCCUGAUGCAGCAACGCCGCGUGCGGGAUGACGGCCCUCGGGUUGUAAACCGCUUUCGCCUGUGACGAAGCGUGAGUGACGGUAAUGGGUAAAGAAGCACCGGCUAACUACGUG